UACGAAGGGGGCUAGCGUUGUUCGGAAUUACUGGGCGUAAAGGGCGCGUAGGCGGCGACGGAAGUCAGGCGUGAAAGCCCCGGGCUCAACCUGGGAAUAGCGCUUGAUACUCUGUUGCUUGAGUUCGGGAGAGGAGAGUGGAAUUCCCAGUGUAGAGGUGAAAUUCGUAGAUAUUGGGAAGAACACCGGUGGCGAAGGCGGCUCUCUGGACCGAUACUGACGCUGAUGCGCGAAAGCGUGGGGAG
rnacentral:rRNA from 1 species